CGUGUGGCUCCAGCUCCAGUCUUGUCUCAGUGCUGUGACUUGUUUGCAGUGCUGCUCUUAAGCAUACAUGCAGGACAAUGGAUCAAGUGUCAACAAGAUACCAACAAAUAAUAUAGAUGUCCAAGAAGAUAUCAACAUCAGUGAGGCAAAAGAAAACAAUGGGGAGCAAGAGCUUAAGUUAAAAAAAUGAAGAAAAAUCGAAGACUGUCUGAAGAUUCAACUAUUAAAGUUCACAUUCAGGAAAAUCAAAAUAAGAAGAUCAGGGAAGCAAAAGACAAAAAUGUAGAGCAAGAGGAUAAGUCCUUGAAAAAAAUGAAGAAACACCAACCUUCUCAAGAUACAACUGUGACAGGUCAGCAAUUUCUCCAGCUUUGAAAGGGGCUGUCAUUGUGCAGCAGUACUCCACUCUAAAG
rnacentral:lncRNA from 1 species